UAACUGAGCAGUCUCCGAGCACUCUCCUUGCAAGUAAAAUAUACUCAAUUCUCUGUGUCUUUUCUUGUGCAGGUUAUUCUUAUAAAUGUUGGGGUUUAAACCUAACAUUUAAAUGGUCCUUCGAGCCGGAUGCCAAGAUACCUGACGAUCCCAGCGGGCGAGUGAGAUCCAGACAAGUCUGUGGCCACAGCAUUAAGACCCUUUUACAGGACUGGUCCCUCCCUUGCGGGCUGGGAUCCGAUGGUUGAAGGUAGAUCCAAGAACGCAGAGAAUUAAAGACCAGUUAGUUGAACCAGGAGACUGGGUCCUGAUAAAAGUAUAAAGAAGAAGCAUUGGCACUCACCUAAGUGGGAAGGACCCUACCAAGUGCUGUUAACCACAGGUACCGCAGUAAAGAUUGCAGAACGUAGUACAUGGAUUCAUUUGACCCACUGUAAAAGAAUAAUUGGACAUGUCUAAAAUAACUAUUUCCAUCAUACUGUUCGUAGUCACCAUUCUUAUAUGUUUCAUAGUGAUAACUCUAUGGUAUCUGCUGUAGCGUUGUAGCUCUUCAACGUACCACCAGAGAAAGUCCGGUUACAAAGGGAACUGUAAUUUUAGUUUGCAGUUGUCUCAAACCCGGUGAAGAUUGUCCACCACUCUGUUGUAGGUAAAUAGGAGGAGUUCCAAUCUACAGCAGAAUGAUCACUCAAGCGCAUAAAAAGAUGGUGGCAGUGGGUGGAAUAGUUGGAAUGAUUAUAGUGGUGUCAUUACUGUUGUGGGAGAAGAAUCAUAGUGUGCAGAAGAGAAGGGUGGGCUAUUAUAACACCAAACCGUCGCAAA